rnacentral:rRNA from 1 species
GAGUGGCGAACGGGUGAGUAACACAUCGGAACGUAUCCCCUGAGUGGGGGAUAACCAGUCGAAAGACUGGCUAAUACCGCAUGAGAAGGGAUUGGAAAGUGGGGGAUCGAAAGACCUCACGCUCUAGGAGCGGCCGAUGUCCGAUUAACUAGUAGGCGGGGUAAGAGCCCACCUAGGCGACGAUCGGUAGCUGGUCUGAGAGGAUGAUCAGCCACACUGGGACUGAGACACGGCCCAGACUCCUACGGGAGGCAGCAGUGGGGAAUUUUGGACAAUGGGGGCAACCCUGAUCCAGCCAUGCCGCGUGAGUGAAGAAGGCCUUCGGGUUGUAAAGCUCUUUAGUCCGGAACGAAACGGUGCAGGUGAAUAGCCUGUGCUACUGACGGUACCGGAAGAAUAAGCACCGGCUAACUACGUGCCAGCAGCCGCGGUAAUACGUAGGGUGCGAGCGUUAAUCGGAAUUACUGGGCGUAAAGCGUGCGCAGGCGGUUUCGUAAGCCAGACGUGAAAGCCCCGGGCUUAACCUGGGAAUGGCGUUUGGGACUGCGAGGCUUGAGUUCGGCAGAGGGGGGUGGAAUUCCACGUGUAGCAGUGAAAUGCGUAGAGAUGUGGAGGAACACCGAUGGCGAAGGCAGCCCCCUGGGUCGCGAC